AGUGAACGCUGGCGGCAUGCUUAAGACAUGCAAGUCGAACGAAGAUAGCAAUAUCUUAGUGGCAAACGGGUGAGUAAUAAACGAAAAUCUGCCUUGCAGUGGGGAACAACAAUUGGAAACAAUUGCUAAUACCGCAUACACCAGAGAUGGGAAAGACUUCGGUCGCUGUAAGAUGAGUUCGUUUCCGAUUAGCUAGUUGGUGGGGUAAAAGCCUACCCAGGUUAUGAUCGGUAGCUGGUCUGAGAGGAUGAUCAGCCACACCGGAACUGAGACACGGUCCGGACUCCUACGGGAGGCAGCAGUCGGGAAUAUUGGACAAUGGGCGAAAGCCUGAUCCAGCAAUGCCGCGUGGAUGAUGAAGGUCUUAGGAUUGUAAAGUUCUUUUGGCGGGGAAGAUAAUGACGGUACCCGCAGAAUAAGCACCGGCUAAUUUCGUGCCAGCCGCCGCGGUAA
rnacentral:rRNA from 1 species